rnacentral:rRNA from 1 species
GGCUUAGAAGCAGCCACUCAUUAAAAGAGUGCGUAAUAGCUCACUGGUCGAGUGAUUCUGCGCCGAAAAUUUAACGGGGCUAAACUAUACACCGAAGCUUAGGAUACCGCAAGGUAUGGUAGGAGAGCGUUCUGUACGGAGUGAAGUCGUAGCGAAAGCGGCGGUGGACUGUACAGAAGUGAGAAUGCCGGAAUAAGUAGCGAGAAUUAAGUGAGAAUCUUAAUGGCCGAAAGUCUAAGGUUUUUGGAGGAAGGUUCGUCCGCUCCAAGUAAGUCGGGAGCUAAGGUCAGGCCGAAAGGCGUAGCCGAUGCACAAACGGUUGAUAUUCCGUUACCGUCUACAAUUUAAACAAAGGGACACAUACAAAGCGUUUAACCCGGGCGAUGGUUGACCCGGGCGCAAGGGACUGAAAUUAGAGUAGGGAAGUAAAUGUGGCGUAUGGCGAGAAAAGCUUUGUGUAUAGAAGUAGAUGCCCGUACCGCAAACCGACACAGGUGGACAGGAAGAGAAUUCUAAGGCCAGCGGGAGAAGGGUAGUUAAGGAACUCGGCAAAUUGACUCCGUAACUUCGGAAUAAGGAGUGCUCGAAAGAGCCGCAGAGAAUAGGCCCAGGCGACUGUUUAGCAAAAACACAGGUCUCUGCCAAAUCGAAAGAUGAAGUAUAGGGGCUGACACCUGCCCGGUGCCGGAAGGUUAAGAGGAGGAGUGCAAGCUCCGAAUUGAAGCCCCGGUAAACGGCGGCCGUAACUAUAACGGUCCUAAGGUAGCGAAAUUCCUUGUCGGGUAAGUUCCGACCCGCACGAAUGGUGUAACGAUCUGGGCACUGUCUCAACUACCCACCCGGCGAAAUUGUAGUACCGGUGAAGAUGCCGGUUACCUGCGGCAAGACGGAAAGACCCCAUGGAGCUUUACUGUAGCCUGAUAUUGGGUUUCGGAAAUCUAUGUACAGGAUAGGCGGGAGACUGGGAAGUAUGAGCGUCAGCUUAUACGGAGUCAUUGUUGGGAUACCGCCCUUAGGUUUCUGGAAUUCUAACCUGCGACCGUGAAUCCGGUCGGGGGACAUUGUCAGGUGGGCAGUUUGACUGGGGCGGUCGCCUCCGAAAAGGUAACGGAGGCGCUCAAAGGUUGGCUCAGCACGGACGGAAACCGUGCCUCAGAGUGUAAACGCAAAAGCCAGCCUAACUGCGAGGAUGACGGUCCGAGCAGUAACGAAAGUUGGAGUUAGUGAUCCGGCGGUAUGUGAAUGGAAAUGCCGUCGCUCAACGGAUAAAAGCUACCCUGGGGAUAACAGGCUGAUCUCCCCCAAGAGUCCACAUCGACGGGGAGGUUUGGCACCUCGAUGUCGGCUCAUCACAUCCUGGGGCUGUAUUCGGUCCCAAGGGUUCGGCUGUUCGCCGAUUAAAGUGGUACGCGAGCUGGGUUCAGAACGUCGCGAGACAGUUCGGUCCCUAUCUGUCGUGGGCGCAGGAUAUUUGAGGAGCUCUGUCCUUAGUACGAGAGGACCGGGAUGGACGUACCUCUGGUGCACCAGUUGUCAUGCCAAUGGCACGGCUGGGCAGCUACGUACGGAACGGAUAAACGCUGAAAGCAUCUAAGCGUGAAGCCGACUCCAAGAUUAGAUAUCCCAUUGCAUAAGCAAGUAAGACCCCUUGAGGACUACGAGGUUGAUAGGCUGCGUGUGUAAGUGUCGUGAGGCAUUUAGCUUGGCAGUACUAAUAGGUCGAGGGCUUGACCA